rnacentral:rRNA from 1 species
GAUGAACGCUGGCGGCGUGCCUAAUACAUGCAAGUCGAGCGAACAGACGAGGAGCUUGCUCCUCUGACGUUAGCGGCGGACGGGUGAGUAACACGUGGAUAACCUACCUAUAAGGCUGGGAUAACUUCGGGAAACCGGAGCUAAUACCGGAUAAUAUAUUGAACCGCAUGGUUCAAUAGUGAAAGACGGUUUUGCUGUCACUUAUAGAUGGAUCCGCGCCGCAUUAGCUAGUCGGUAAGGUAACGGCUUACCAAGGCAACGAUGCGUAGCCGACCUGAGAGGGUGAUCGGCCACACUGGAACUGAGACACGGUCCAGACUCCUACGGGAGGCAGCAGUAGGGAAUCUUCCGCAAUGGGCGAAAGCCUGACGGAGCAACGCCGCGUGAGUGAUGAAGGUCUUCGGAUCGUAAAACUCUGUUAUUAGGGAAGAACAAAUGUGUAAGUAACUAUGCACGUCUUGACGGUACCUAAUCAGAAAGCCACGGCUAACUACGUG